ensembl:lncRNA MAPT-AS1 MAPT antisense RNA 1
GCGCCAGCCCCGCGCCUCCGGCAGGGAGCGCACACGCCGGGCGCCCUGCGCUCCGAGCGCUGAGAAAGAAAUCCGCCCCGAGAUGCACCUGCAGCCCCGCGCCCAUCCGUGCGUGGCUGCGGCUGUGCGUGCCCGCGAACGGGGACCAGCGGCCGCCGAGUCCGUCCACAUCGCCAGGCCAGGAGUCAGAACAAGGACGGGCCUGUGAUGUGUCUGUCUAUGACGAGGAGGACAAUGUCCUAAGGAAUGGAGAGGAAGAAAGUGAAGGGAACCAGGUCCCUGGAUUCCAUGUGGAACAGUAGCCCAGGAUGUGCACUAUGGACUGUUACAAGAGAGAGACAUGAUCUUCCUUAAGGCAUUGAUUUGUCAUGAGUCUCUUUGUUAUAGCCACUUAACGUUACCUUAAUACACCCACUUCAUGGAUAAGUAAAACUGAGGCUUGGAGAAGCCCACAUUGACACAGCAAAGAAGGCUGGGGCUCUUGUGCUGGUUAAAUGGACCUUGAUGUCUUCCAAAUGUUUUCAUGCUGGAUUCUGAGCCACUCUCCUGGCUGCAACUCUGAGGCCGGGCAGACUUUCCGCUGGAAAGAGAACUCAAAUACUGGUCCUGGGGACAGGAGGAGGCAGUGCUGGGGUCUUCUCACCUGAGCCGCAGAAAGAGGACAAAGGCCACCAGGAGGGCCACCAGGGAGAUACAGUGGCCCAGGUAGUUGAUGAUGACUGCGACAUGGUAGUGCACCUUGCUUUUUUUCUGGAGCAGGAGAGAGGGGCAGAGAGCCACCAAGGAGCUACUGGCCACCAAGGAGCUACUCCAUAGGCCUUCCUGUUGGAAUUACAGAACCCACUUGAAACCAGAGAUCAAGUCCAGCCCUAUCCACCAGGCAUCCCAGGAGAAGCCAAGACCCUAUGCCCAGUUCCGCCCGGCCACCAAGGCCCUUCUGAAGGAGCACCCUCAUUGGGGAACCUCUCCAGAGGCUGCUACAGAAGCUCUGUUCUUGGAGCUGGUUUCCAGGCAGAGGCUUUCUGGAACAUGGCAGCUGCCCUUGGAGACUGCUCCUCUCAUCCCAGUUCUUUCCGUAGAAGAGACUGAAUAAUUGGCCACGCCACGCAGCCGGUAUCUGGAACCUGGGUCUGCCUGGCUUUAAGCUCCCUCUUUUCCCUGUUUCCCAGGGACAUUUCUUUUUUUGGGUGGGGGAGGGAUGGAGUCUCACUCUGUCGCCCAGUCUGGAGUGGUGCAGUGGCAGGAUCUCAGCUCACUGCAGCCUCUGCUUCCUGGGUUCAAGUGAUUCUCCUGCCUCAGCCUCCCGAGUAGCUGGGAUCACAGGCAUGCACCACCAUGCCCAGCUAAUAUUUUGUAUUUUUUGGUAGAGAUGGGGUUUUGCCAUGUUGCCCAGGCUGGUCUCGAACUCCUGAGCUCAGGCAAUCCACCUGUCUCGGCCUCCCAAAGUGCUGGGAUUACAGGCGUGAGCCACCGUGUCCGGCCCCCUGCGACAUUUCUUGGGGGACAAGCAGGAAUUGAAAGCAGAGGCACUCUCUGGGGUGGUCUCACGCCACUUUGGGCCCAGGAGCCUCGGGGGACCUCCUGCUGGGACAAUAGCGCCCAAGAGGGCUUUCCUCCAAGAGCCUGAGGGAGAAUCAGGCCAAACCAUUCCCGGGGGACAAAGUCUCAGUGUGCCUCCCUGAGCAGUCGGGCCUGGGCCGGGUUCAAGCCCUGUCUCUCAUCGGCCACAUCAGCAUCAUGCAACCUGAGAAGACAGCUGGAGAGACAGCCUGAGGGAUGGCUGCUGAUACCCUGAGACAAAUACAUCCUGCGACACCCAGACAGAAGCCAGUGACACUGUGACAUUUCCAAUAACAACCAGAGUUCUGGCCAGCAUUAUUUAGAGAGACAGCAAGGCCUUAAGAGGCACCCAGGAACACCCUGAGAGGUGGCCAGUGAUACCUGGAGAGGAGAGUCAGCAGCACCCCCAGGGACAGCCAGUGACACCCCGACCGAUGGCCACGAUAACAGCAAAGCAGCUGGGAUGUCCGAAGGACAAAUGGGCACAGCUACCCCUCGGGCCCUGACCAGCACUCCAUCUCCAUCCAGUCUGGAGACCUAAGACCAGCAGGCACCCCGCCCUAAGGAGGGUGGCACAGCGUGGUACUUGGCAGAGGCCACUCCGCUGUACCCUCAGUGAUCUGAAUUGAAUAAGCAAUUUGUGCCCGGCUGACUCUGACUGGACUCUCUGCAGGACACCACCUCGUCCCAGGCGCUGCAGUGCCAGAUCCGUCCUGAUGCCUCUCUGGGUUGGUGGCAAUGAGACCUCCCUUCCAAGCUCCCCACUGGUGCCCACUCCAUUCUGGCACGUCCUCUCCACCGAGGCUUCCAGAGCUACUCCUCUUACCCUGCAGUGGGCACUCACUCCAGCCCCUCGAUCCUCAAAGGGUGGCCCCUGGCCCAGCAACAGCACGCAGAGGAGCACGCAGAGAUCUUGAGGAAAGUGGAAUGUAUGCCCUACGCCAGGCCCAUGGAAUCGGAGCUUGGUUUUAGGAAAAAGCACCUCUGCAGUUCAGAAGCCCUGGUCCAACCACCACUCACCUCUCCCCACACGCUAGCACUGAUGCUCAGCUUGGGAGAGUCCCCAGAGCCCCCAGGGGUCAGGGACCGCACUGGCCUUCGGCAGAGCCACAGCUGGACAGCCAUCCUUCAACACGGUCCCUCGCCCUUCUGCUGAGCCCCAAGGCAGUCCUGUCACUGGCUGUGUGGCUUUCGGUGAGUCACCUGACUCCUCUGAGACUCAACAUCCUCAUCUGUGAAGUGGGGGCAAUGUGGUCUUUCUUACCCACUUCACUGGGAGAUGGACCAUUUGUGGGGAACCAGGAGACCUGCAUCUGCAAUAUAAAGUCCCUACAAGCAUCGGCAGGGUCAUCAGCCCAGCUUGGCUGUUCUGGGCCCCAGAAUGCACCUCCACUGCAGAGGGCUGGCCUGGAGCAGCUUUCCUGAUGUCCCUUCCGGGCCCUGGGGGAGGCCCCGCAGGCUGGACCUGGCCUCUCCUCAUCUUCCGCCAGGUCCUUCUGCCUUCUCAGGAAGCCUUGCUUUGGGAAGGAGUUUUUCCAUUUAAAAGGCUGCCUGCGGAGGGCCUCAGACACUGGGUUGAGAUGGAUCCAGUCGGCCUGGAGCACCAUGGCAGGUUCCUGAGCAGUGAAUUAUCCCAGCUUGUCACCCUCAUCAUCCCAGCGAGACAGCCGACAGUCACCUGUUCCACGGAGGCGGUUCAGCAGGUCAGAGUGAAACCAGGCCUUGUUGCCUUCCCUGGCCUGGGAGACUCUGGCGGACCCUGACUCGGGGCCCAGAGAAGCCCUUGACUCUCCAGUGUGGCCAAGAUCGAAGAUGUACCUGGUGACCCCAGAGGCAAGGGCCCCAGCCCACACUUUCCAUCUGCUGGCCAAGGUCCUGGGUCCUGGGGUCCUGCAGGCUCCACAAUCCCAAUAUCCGACCCUUCUGACUCUGCUUUGCUUUGCACUGUGUUCAGGUGGAGCCUAUUUUAAGCAAAGGCAAGAGAAGAAAAUCUAAACGCGAAAAAGAAAUGAGGUCAUAAAUGAAGAUUUCUGUAAAAAGCUGGGUCCGCCGUUGCAUUUAAAUACUGGGAUC